rnacentral:rRNA from 1 species
AGUAGAGCGGCGAACGGGUGAGUAACGCGUGGGUGAUCUUCCUUCGAGUGGGGAAUAACAGCGGGAAACUGCUGCUAAUACCGCAUGACAUCCCCGAUUCAGUUCGGGGAUCAAAGCCGGGGACCGCAAGGCCUGGCGCUUGAAGAUGAGCCCGCGUCCGAUUAGCUAGUUGGCGGGGUAACGGCCCACCAAGGCAACGAUCGGUAGCCGGCCUGAGAGGGCGGACGGCCACACUGGGACUGAGACACGGCCCAGACUCCUACGGGAGGCAGCAGUGGGGAAUUUUUCGCAAUGGGGGAAACCCUGACGAAGCAACGCCGCGUGGAGGAUGAAGGCCUUCGGGUCGUAAACUCCUGUCGACCGGGAAGAAUGCACCUGACCUAAUACGUCGGUGUGUUGACUGUACCGGUGGAGGAAGCCACGGCUAACUCUGUGCCAGCAGCCGCGGUAAUACAGAGGUGGCAAGCGUUGUUCGGAAUUACUGGGCGUAAAG